CACAACUGGCAAGUGACAGAGCCAGGAUUCAAAUUCAUAUCUGAGUUUCAGGGAUCAAAAAUCUAAGAAGUUCCAGUUUAAUAGUGACAGAUGUGAAGACCUCCACUUGGGUUAAAAAAAUCAACUUCAUACAUAUAGGAUGGGGAAAAUGGGCCAGAUAAUAGUUCAUAGGAAAAAAAGAUCCAGGAAUUUAGUGAACUGACAACUUUCAACAGGACAUUGAAGAAAAGCGUGAUGUCUGCAGCAAGUGAGAUUAAUACUCUAAGUGGACCCUCUUGUGGCUCUUCUAGAUCAACCUCUGCCUUUGUUAUCCCUCACAAUGCCAACUGCAUCCAUACUUCAAAACUUCAAAGAACUAUAAUUUCACUGGUGGUGUGGAUAUCUUCUUCCUGGACCUGAACUGUGGUUACUUCAUAAUUUAGUAGAUGAUCUUCAGGAGUUGACAUGGCCAAACAAUUCAUCACUUGGAAGCCAAUCUGGGGGUUUCUCUGAGUCCAGCUGGAGAUUGGUCCUUGGCUGACAAAGAUACAGCACAUCAUUGGGCUGUGCUCAAUAAUCAAGGACAUAUUAAGCUCU